CUACGGAGGGUGCAAGCGUUAUCCGGAAUCAUUGGGUUUAAAGGGUCCGUAGGCGGUCUAUUAAGUCAGAGGUGAAAUCCCACAGCUCAACUGUGGAACUGCCUUUGAUACUGGUAGUCUUGAGUUAUAUGGAAGUAGAUAGAAUGUGUAGUGUAGCGGUGAAAUGCAUAGAUAUUACACAGAAUACCGAUUGCGAAGGCAGUCUACUACGUAUAUACUGACGCUAAGGGACGAAAGCGUGGGGAGCGAACAGGAUUAGAAACCCUAGUAGUCC
rnacentral:rRNA from 1 species